AUUUUUAUGGAGAGUUUGAUCCUGGCUCAGGAUGAACGCUGGCGGCGUGCCUAAUACAUGCAAGUCGAGCGAACGGACGAGAAGCUUGCUUCUCUGAUGU
rnacentral:rRNA from 2 species